rnacentral:tRNA from 1 species
GCCGCCCCCGUAGCUCAGUGGAAAGAGCGCCGCCGUCCUAAGGCGGGCGUCGGGGGUUCGAAUCCCUCCGGGCGCACCA